rnacentral:rRNA from 1 species
CAAUAGCGUAUAUUAAAGUUGUUGCGGUUAAAAGCUCGUAGUUGGAUUUCUGUCGAAAACAGCCGGUCCGCUCUAUGAGCGUGUAUCUGGUUUGGUUUUGGCAUCCUCGAGGGGUACUGCGCUGUGCUUGAUUGCAUGGCCAGGAAUUCUCGACUUUUACUUUGAGGAAAUUAGAGUGUUCACGGCAGGCAAGCGCCUUGAAUACAUUAGCAUGGAAUAAUAAUAUAGGACUUUGGUUUUAUUUUGUUGGUUUCUAGGGCCGAAGUAAUGAUUAAGAGGGACAAUUGGGGGCAUCCGUAUUUCGUUGUCAGAGGUGAAAUUCUUGGAUUUACGAAAGACGAACAACUGCGAAAGCACUUGCCAAGAGUGUUUUCAUUAAUCAAGAACGAAAGUUAGAGGAUCGAAGACGAUUAGAU